GAUGAAUGCUGGCGGCGUGCCUAAUACAUGCAAGUCGAGCGGUAACAGGGCUUCACCGUUUCCUUGACACUCUACGACAUGGUCUAGAGGCAGAUUUCGAGGGAACAGUGAAGCUGCUGACGAGCGGCGGACGGCUGAGUAACGCGUGGGAACGGACCCCAAACUGAGGGAUAACGCACCGAAAGGUGUGCUAAUACCGCAUAUGAUCUUCGGAUUAAAGCUUUCGAGCGGUUUGGGACUGGCCUGCGUACGAUUAGAUAGUUGGCGGGGUAAUAGCCCACCAAGUCGACGAUCGUUAGAUGGUUUGAGAAGAUGAUCAUCCAGACUGGGACUGAGACACGGCCCAGACUCC
rnacentral:rRNA from 1 species